CCCAACGUUUAUAUUAUUUGAAUCCAUAUCAUAAGGUGUAACGAAAUUUUUACGCUGGUUGUCAUCUACCGCAACCCUCCUCCUUUAUCUGGGCUUGGGACCGGCUAAGUACAAACUACUUAGGCGGAGUUAACAUUGUCUUACAAUAUGAUUUAAUAAUUAAUUUUAUGACUUUUAUUUGAGUUUUUCCAUUUCUGUAUUUUAGACUGAAAAUUCAAUUUUAAACAUUGUUGCUUACAAUAAGAAGUGUUACCAUUAUCAAUCCCAUUAUUAAUCAAUUAUAACUGAAAACCUUUGUGCUUGUUCCUGACAGCAUAUUUUUGGAGGGUUUUUCCCCUGUAGGGUGAGGCCCAAAUAAAAUUUUUAGCUGACCCAACUAGUUUGGAAUUAGGGGCUUAGGGCUUUGUUCAGUUAACUUAAGUUGAAAGCAAAAGACCAUAUUUUAUUUUAGAUUUGGUUAAAUCUAAAAUGUUUGGUUAAGUUAUACCAGAAUUUUUGGUUAAGCCUAUGUCAAAAUAUAAAUUUGAGUAAUUUUGAUUAUUAAAAAAAGAAAACCUUAAUGGUAGCACUGGCUGAUACAGUUUGAUGUGGAUUAAUAUGUUAUGAUACUGUGACUUUGGGACCGCAACCAAUUCCAAUGUUUGACUGCAACCUUAAAAGUAUUUUCGAAAUUUUAAAUUUUGAUCUCUUCCUUGCUGCUUGGUUUAUAUUAUUUAGUUUUGUUGUUAAAUGGUUUUGAGAAUUGAUUUCCUGUAAUGAUACUUUUGUACCUCUAAUGGUGGAUUUGUCAUGAUCUGAAGGACCGGGCUAAUGAGAUCUAUAAACGGGUGGAAGAUCAAAAGUCAAGUAGAGGAAGAAAUCAGGACGCCUUAUUGGCUGCUUGCCUCUACAUUGCUUGUCGACAAGAAGACAAGCCACGAACUGUAAAGGAAAUUUGCUCUGUCGCCAAUGGAGCUACAAAGAAGGAAAUUGGCCGAGCAAAAGAAUACAUAGUGAAACAACUGGGGUUGGAGACAGGUCAGUCAGUGGAGAUGGGAACUAUUCACGCUGGGGAUUUUAUGAGGCGUUUUUGUUCCAAUCUUGGUAUGAAUAAUCAAGCAGUGAAAGCUGCCCAAGAAGCUGUGCAGAAGUCGGAAGAGUUUGACAUAAGGAGGAGUCCUAUAUCAAUUGCAGCAGCAGUCAUUUAUAUCAUAACUCAGCUUUCUGAAGAGAAGAAGCCUAGUCUCAAAGAUAUUUCAGGUGCCACAGGAGUUGCUGAAGGAACAAUCAGAAAUUCCUACAAGGACCUCCAUCCUCACGUGUUGAAGAUAAUACCAAGUUGGUUUGCCAAAGAGGAGGAUCUUAAGAAUCUUUGCAGUCCUUGAAUUAUAAAGCAGACAAUAAUGGGAAUCCUUAGACGUUUAAAACUGGUAUUUAGGCCUUUUGUUUUCAUUUUUCUUUGGCAGUCAGCUACACAUUUUGUUCGGACUGUGGGAAAACAAAGUAUUUCAGCCAUUCAAUUCUAACCCAUGUUUGAAGGAGCAGCAACAUCCAACUUAUCAGUGGAUAUUGACGUGUAUUAUGCAAUCAAAGCCUACUUUUGAAUCAUUUCAUUUGGCAACUUUUUGCUGAUGAGUUUUGGCUAAGGAAUCAUCUCAACCAUCACAUGAAAUUUGGAUCUGGAAGCCUACUUUGGGUUUGGCUAGUUCUGCUAUCAAUUGAUAUUACCUGUUGAGUACUAUAAAAUUGCUAAGGUUACACUAUGUGAGGAUAAGCCACUUAGGUGGAACAUACCUUUGAAAUCGGCUUGCAUGCUUAGGCACUUAUUAAUCUCUCACCAAGGUUAUUCUUGGGUAAUUUGGGAUUGUAACAAUAUCCCAAGCUUGGAGAUCAAUAUUCUUAUUGGUAACGGUCAUGUUGGUUACAAUUAGCAUUCCUGUUUUUAUAUAUUGUGUCUAAGUCACCAUUCUGUGAGCCACCAAUUUUUAUUUAAUUUGAAAUUGUUGAUCAUUGUGUGGUACUAUGUGUACUAUUUCCUGCUAUAUUUCUCUGCUUAUUUAUCUCC
rnacentral:misc_RNA from 1 species